rnacentral:rRNA from 1 species
AUACGGGGGGUGCGAGCGUUGUUCGGAAUCAUUGGGCGUAAAGAGCGUGUAGGCGGCUGGAUAAGUCAGAUGUGAAAGCCCUGGGCUUAACCCAGGAAGUGCAUUUGAAACUGUUCAGCUUGAGUAAGGGAGAGGAAAGUGGAAUUCCUGGUGUAGAGGUGAAAUUCGUAGAUAUCAGGAGGAACACCGGUGGCGAAGGCGACUUUCUGGCCCUAUACUGACGCUGAGGCGCGAAAGUGUGGGGAUC